rnacentral:rRNA from 1 species
AUUGAACGCUGGCGGCAUGCCUUACACAUGCAAGUCGAACGGUAUCAGGUCUUCGGAUGCUGACGAGUGGCGAACGGGUGAGUAAUACAUCGGAACGUGCCUAGUAGUGGGGGAUAACUACUCGAAAGAGUGGCUAAUACCGCAUGAGAUCUACGGAUGAAAGCAGGGGAUCGCAAGACCUUGUGCUACUAGAGCGGCCGAUGGCAGAUUGGGUAGUUGGUGGGAUAAAAGCUUACCAAGCCGACGAUCUGUAGCUGGUCUGAGAGGACGAUCAGCCACACUGGGACUGAGACACGGCCCAGACUCCUACGGGAGGCAGCAGUGGGGAAUUUUGGACAAUGGGCGCAAGCCUGAUCCAGCAAUGCCGCGUGCAGGAUGAAGGCCUUCGGGUUGUAAACUGCUUUUGUACGGAACGAAAAGCCCUGGGUUAAUACCCUGGGGUCAUGACGGUACCGUAAGAAUAAGCACCGGCUAACUACGUGCCAGCCGCCGCUGUAACAC